UGCAGAAAACGACUCUCAUUGUCAAG
rnacentral:misc_RNA from 1 species